ensembl:lncRNA
CAUUUUACUGUAUUGUUGGAUAAUUUCUGUAAAUAUGUGUGUAAAGCUCUUCAAACCCACAGAACUCUCACAGACUCAUUAAAAAGAGCAAAGGCUUGUUUGAGAAAAUGCCAGACAUUUUAAAGCUUAGAGAAAGGUCAUGCUUAUAUAAAAGAAAUACACGUUAGCCUUAUUACAGAAAAAAAUAUUGUUUAAGAGAAUACACUGCAAAUUGAACGUGAUGUUUUUGAACACUUAAUUGCAUGUUAAUUGCAAAUAAAUUAAAAGGUAUAAUGAUUUAAAUUUACAUUAAAUGCAAUUAGCUGAACUUUAAUGUGCUUUCUUACUCACUUAAGUAGGACUGUACAUCUUAAUAUUUAAUUUCAUAAUUACUUCUGUUGUUUUUUAAAAUAUUGUUAAACUGUACUGCCAGAUAUACUGACAAACAUUUAUGGUAUACUAAAAGGUACUUUAAUGCAAUUUCCAUCAAAACGUGUAUGUCAUGUUUUUAAGCAUAUUAACUACGAAUUUGUAAUGAUAAAAUUACACUAUAUUAACAUCAGUGUUAUACUGAAUAUUUAAAAUUAUGUUCUUCAAAGCACAACAAAAGAUUAUUAAAACAAUGAUUUAAAAUGUACUUUAAUGUAAAAAUUUUAAUUUGACUUUAUUACAAAGUGCACUUCAUAAAAGUGUACUUACUAUGUUAAUAAGUCAUGCAAAUCUGCUCUAUUUAAGCACACUUAAGUGGACUUUUAUUUCAUUAUUAAUAUUAUAUUAUUAAUAUUGUAUUAUGCUAGAUGUGAAGUACACUACAAGUGCACAUUCAAUAAAAUUAAGUGCACUUCUUUUUCACAAGGACAGUCAUAAUAAGGUCGUCUAAAGAUAUGCACCAUAUGUCUGAGUUUUGUGUGUUCUCUGUAGAAGAGUAAGUGCUCAGGGUCUUGUGGACGCUAAAAGGUUAACCUGAACAUGAGAGCCUGACUCAUCUCUAUCAAUUUUUGUUUGUGAAACAGUGGAAAAUGCCUGAAGGCUCGUGUAUGUGUGUGUGAAAUAUUAGUUCUCCUCCUCUUCCCGCAGGCACACUUUGCACCUGAAGCUGAAUCGGGCCCCGAUUGGCUCUACUUCUGCUUAUCUCUCCGGGUUGCUCCACACCCUCUGCCCGCCGGCGCUGGUCACAUGCUUGUCCUGCUCGACUGGCCUGGACCACACCCCGUCCUACAUACCUGCUCCUCACCUGCACUGUACCGAGUGACACUUUCAUAAAAAAGAGAGACGAUAAAUGACCGGAAAAGAUGGGGGAAGAUAGAAGAACUGAAACAGAAUGGUAGGAGAGUCCGCACCUCUCAACACACACACGUUAAUAACAGGAUAUUAAAGAGGUGAAAUAAUUAAGCUAACAAGAGAACGUGUCUGGCUAAGCUGUCUCCUAAGGUCCGAUAUCGAUACAUUAGCUUAGACAAGCGCAAUGCAUUUUACAUGGGGCCCUGGGAAAAUGAUUGAUCAAGGCAUAAUAGCAGGCCC